GGAAGUAAAGGUCGUAACAAGGUUUCCGUAGGUGAACCUGCGGAAGGAUCAUUACCGAGUGAGGGCCCUCUGGGUCCAACCUCCCACCCGUGUUUAUCGUACCUUGUUGCUUCGGCGGGCCCGCCUCACGGCCGCCGGGGGGCACCCGCCCCCGGGCCCGCGCCCGCCGAAGACACCAUUGAACGCUGUCUGAAGAUUGCAGUCUGAGCAUCUUAGCUAAAUCAGUUAAAACUUUCAACAACGGAUCUCUUGGUUCCG
rnacentral:misc_RNA from 1 species